UUUCGUGGGAUCAAGGCCCGCCUUUCUAG
rnacentral:tRNA from 1 species